AAUUUUGUCAUGGGAAUCUCUUCAGCUAGUCUAGCCCUAGGUCUGUUAAACCCUUCAUCUAGUCUAGCCCUAGGUCUGUUAAACCCUUCAUCUAGUCUAGCCCAAGGUCUGUUAAACCCUUCAUCUAGUCUAGCCCAAGGUCUGUUAAACCCUUCGUCUAGUCUAGCCCUAGGUCUGUUAAACCCUUCGUCUAGUCUAGCCCUAGGUCUGUUAAACCGUUCAUCUAGUCCUUACAGAUGCCCUCUGUUUGCAAUCAGAAGUUCAGAACUAAUCCUCUCCUCUGGAUGGCGCUGUGUAAAUUGGACACUGAUUAAUGUGUCCAGUCUGUGUAGCUAUGGGCCGGUAGACCACCACGACCACAGAUCUCCAUCCACCAGACCACAUGGUCACUUUGACAGCACCAUAAACAUACUGUAUGGGUCCAAUAGAUGGACUCAGAGAGUGUAUGGGUCUGGAGGUAAACCCUGUCAAUAGAUGGACUCAGAGAGUGUAUGGGUCUGGAGGUAAACCCUGUCAAUAGAUGGACUCAGAGAGUGUAUGGGUCUGGAGGUAAACCCUGUCAAUAGAUGGACUCAGAGAGUGUAUGGGUCUGGAGGUAAACCCUGUCAAUAGAUGGACUCAGGGAGUGUAUGGGUCUGGAGUUAAACCCUGUCAAUAGAUGGACUCAGGGAGUGUAUGGGUCUGGAGGUAAACCCUGUCAAUAGAUGGACUCAGGGAGUGAGUACUCUCUCUACAGAGUGAGGAUAUGUACAGGGCCUCUUCUAUAACUGUGUGAUUGUCAGUGAGGAUUAUGAUGUCUUAUUAUUAUUAUAAAUUGGACAUCCCCUGACCCCACUCACCUGGGUCGUGUUCAUUAGGCACCAAACGCACUGAAAAAGGAAGGGACUAUCUGGAUUUGUCCAAUGCUCAGAAACGCUACUUUUCCAUUGCAAAACGCUUUUUAAAUGUUUUCUGUAGCAUGUCCUAAUGAACACAACCCUGUUCAGGACAGGAAGGACCAUCCUCCCUUCUGCCCCUCCAUCCACACCCCUCCACAGCCCAGGCCAGCCCAGGGAGAAAGCUGAGUUACAGAGCAGCCAUCGCAAGAAACAUGAAACAAAGCAACUUCAACAUCAGAAAAUGUCUCGUCUGAACAU